UAUACACCUUCACAGUUCAGUUGGCAGUUUGAAGGCGAUGGCCAGAAAAAAAAAGGCUUUGCAAUGAGCAAGGGAAAUCAUGUUUGUACAACAGCUUUCAGAAUUGCCUCGUGGAAAGGGGGAAAAUUGAAGACUCGGCCAACCAACUAGGCGCUGUGAAGUUCUACCAGACGCAGGAAAUAAUUCACGCCGCCUUUGCAUUAUGGACAUCUAUCUCCUAUCACGUUGGGCAUUGUCACCUUCAUCCUCGGAGACCCAGGGGCUGUGGGUCGAUUUCAAGUUAGG